UUUGGGGGAAGUAGUGGUCUGUCGGGUUGGGGAAAAAGGCAUAUUCCCUUGAGGUAAAAUUAGGUUUGCUUCCUUUUACUCCCAAAAUCUUUUUACCAUGGGUAAAAAGAAUCAUCAUGGGGGUAUAAAAAGGAACCAAAUUUAAAUUUACCUCAAGGGAUCUUGAUGUCUUUUUCCCCAACAAGACAGAUCACUAUUUUCCCCAAG
rnacentral:pre_miRNA from 1 species